GCAAGGCUAAUGAUGCAAUCCAUGAAGCUCUAAAUUAGUUCCUGUAAUUAUAAGCAUAUUGCAUAUUUAUUUUACACCUUUAUACCACUGUAAUAUUAUUACAUAAAAAAUCAUAAGUAAGACAAGGAUGAAAAUACCAUCAGCACCCACAAUAUUAAACAUCAACCCCGCUUAGUUACGCUUUAGAUGUAGUCGCUGUAUUUGUUAUUGUGGCUUUACUGUUCGUCCGACAGGCCCCUCGUCACCACGGCAGAUCUGGUCUUUAACAGUUCCGGCAUCGUGCCCCGCAUCGAUCAGGUCGUCAAAACCCUAAAGCAGGCCAUCAACGACGGGACUGUGACCAUUCCGAUUAUUCUCACCUCAAUCAAUGCCACCAAUGUUACACCAGCUAUAAUUGCACCCCCGACUGAAUCUGGAACUCCUACAGGCCCCCCAUCCAGUGGUGUGUCACCUGUUCCUCCCUCAGUGUUCAGCUGCUUCCUGCUGGCCUGGUGUUCCCUGUUGCUGGGUACAGUGCUCAACUUAUCAUGAAACAAAGAUGCUCACACACUCACGCAAGCACAAUACACACACAAAACACAUUGUCUUGGGCAGCAUUUUAAUCUAUUUAUCUAUCAAUUUAUCUAUUUAUCUAUCAGUUUUAUCAUAAUCUUAAUCAAAAAUAAGAACACUAACUGAAAGGCAUAAGGAAUUCACCAGGAGAGUGUCAGAGUUUAAUUGUAGAAAGUCUUUUCAUCCAGUUUUUAACCUCAGCUAAGCAGUGAUAUAAAGCAGUUAAUUUAUUCAUAUCAUUUGGCCUUACAGGGAGGUACAAUUGUGUGUCAUUUACAUAGCAGUGAUACGAGAUAUCGUGACGAUGGAUAAUAUGACCUACGGGUAGUAUAUAUAAAGAGAAACUUGUCCAAGAUUUGAGCCCUGAGGUACACCAAACAUGAUCACUGAAAUUGAUGACCUAAAGCCACCAAUUGACACAAAAAAUUGGCUGUUUCACAAAUAGGAAGAGAACCAGUUAAGAACAGCCAUAGAUACCAACCCACUGUCAGUCUACUAAUUAGAAUAGCAUGAUAAAUGGUGUCAAGCAGAACCAGAACAGAAAUGUCUCCUGCAUCAGCAGCCUGCAAUAAAUCUUUAGCUACCCUAAGAAGGGCUGUUUCAGUGCUGUGCAUCUGGCGAAAACCAGAUAAAAUUUACUCAGCUGACAAAAUUUCUGUGAAAGUGGCAAUUAUAAAAAUAUGACCAAUUCGGUUUCCUACAGCCUUUCAGAGUGAUUUAUACUCUGGCUUUGAUUUGUAUGCGUGUCAUUUGAUUUGAAUUAAUCAUUUAAAUGCUGUUUGAUUUCUCAUUAAAUGUCUUGUGCUGCCUUUCCUGUGAAUUAGACUAUAAAAAUCAAGCCCAAGCCACUUCAAGCCUGAUGCUUGUCUAGUCUUGUGUUUUCUUUUUGGGGAAGGGGAUUUUACACUGCUGUAUUGUAUGCAACUGUGUAAUAAGGAAGCAGCAUGCAGGUGUGACUUCCCCAUGUGAUACGGGCGCUGUCCAUGGUGCCGAUUGUGACUCAUGCAUAAGACAUGUACUGUCCAUGGUCCUGAUGAGGCAAAUGUCCGGUAAAUUUAUGCUCUGGAAAGUAUUCCUCCAUUUUAAAGUAAUUUUUGGUAAUUCUCAUGAAUUACCGGUGAUUUAAUUAAAAGUUUUAAAAACUGU